GCGUUCGUGGUGUACCGGAUGUGCACGCCAGGUUGUGGCCCUGGUGGUUCGGGUUCGACUCCCGACGAUCGCCC
rnacentral:tRNA from 1 species